rnacentral:misc_RNA from 1 species
UGGCUCUCGCAUCGAUGAAGAACGCAGCGAAUUGCGAUAUGUAAUGUGAAUUGCAGAAUUCAGUGAAUCAUCGAAUCUUUACGCAUCUUGCGCCCUGUGGUAUUCCACAGGGCACGCCUGUUUGAGUGUCACGUUAAUCUAUCACCCUUGAAUUGUUAACUCGGUUCAUGUCGGUGGAUUUGGGUGCUGCCGUUGUUGGCUCGCCUUGAAAUGCAUUAGCAUUGGCUCUCGUAUGAGAUUAUCGCGGUGUGAUAGUUCUUUGCAUCGUUGAUCUUGUGCGUGCUGAAGCUUAUAAUCGUCCUUUGCGGGACAAUUAUUCGAACCUUGACCUCAAAUCAGGUGGGACUACCCGCUGA